GUCCAGAUGACGAAUCCCACUAAAUAGGACAAAAUGCGCAUCCUGCAU
rnacentral:hammerhead_ribozyme from 1 species